rnacentral:rRNA from 1 species
AUUGAACGCUAGCGGCAUGCCUUACACAUGCAAGUCGAACGGCAGCGGGGGAGCUUGCUCCCGCCGGCGAGUGGCGAACGGGUGAGUAAUACAUCGGAACGUACCCAGUAGCGGGGGAUAGCCCGGCGAAAGCCGGAUUAAUACCGCAUACGCCCUACGGGGGAAAGGGGGGGAUCGCAAGACCUCUCACUAUUGGAGCGGCCGAUGGCUGAUUAGCUAGUUGGUGGGGUAAAGGCCUACCAAGGCGACGAUCAGUAGCUGGUCUGAGAGGACGACCAGCCACACUGGGACUGAGACACGGCCCAGACUCCUACGGGAGGCAGCAGUGGGGAAUUUUGGACAAUGGGCGAAAGCCUGAUCCAGCAAUGCCGCGUGUGCGAAGAAGGCCUUCGGGUUGUAAAGCACUUUUGUCAGGGAAGAAAUCGUUUGGGCUAAUACCCCGAGCAGUUGACGGUACCUGAAGAAUAAGCACCGGCUAACUACGUGCCAGCCGCCGCUGUAA